rnacentral:rRNA from 1 species
UACGUAGGGGGCUAGCGUUGUCCGGAAUCAUUGGGCGUAAAGCGCGCGUAGGCGGCCCGGUAAGUCCGCUGUAAAAGUCAAAGGCUCAACCUUUGAAUGUCAGUGGAUACUGCCGGGCUAGAGUCCGGAAGAGGCGAGUGGAACUCCUGGUGUAGCGGUGGAAUGCGCAGAUAUCAGGAAGAACACCGACGGCGAAGGCAGCUCGCUGGGACGGUACUGACGCUGAGGCACGAAGGUCAGGGGAGCAAACGGG